rnacentral:rRNA from 1 species
AGCGGCGGAUGGGUGAGUAACACGUGGGGAACCUGCCCCUAAGUCUGGGAUACCAUUUGGAAACAGGUGCUAAUACCGGAUAAUAAAGCAGAUCGCAUGAUCAGCUUUUGAAAGGCGGCGUAAGCUGUCGCUAAGGGAUGGCCCCGCGGUGCAUUAGCUAGUUGGUAAGGUAACGGCUUACCAAGGCGACGAUGCAUAGCCGAGUUGAGAGACUGAUCGGCCACAUUGGGACUGAGACACGGCCCAAACUCCUACGGGAGGCAGCAGUAGGGAAUCUUCCACAAUGGACGCAAGUCUGAUGGAGCAACGCCGCGUGAGUGAAGAAGGUUUUCGGAUCGUAAAGCUCUGUUGUUGGUGAAGAAGGAUAGAGGUAGUAACUGGCCUUUAUUUGACGGUAAUCAACCAGAAAGUCACGGCUAACUACGUGCCAGCAGCCGCGGUAAUACGUAGGUGGCAAGCGUUGUCCGGAUUUAUUGGGCGUAAAGCGAGCGCAGGCGGAAAAAUAAGUCUAAUGUGAAAGCCCUCGGCUUAACCGAGGAACUGCAUCGGAAACUGUUUUUCUUGAGUGCAGAAGAGGAGAGUGGAACUCCAUGUGUAGCGGUGGAAUGCGUAGAUAUAUGGAAGAACACCAGUGGCGAAAGGCGGCUCUCUGGUCUGCAACUGACGCUGAGGCUCGAAAGCAUGGUAGCGAACAGGAUUAGAUACCCUGGGUAGUCCAUGCCGUAAACGAUGAGUGCUAAGUGU